UAAUGGGAGCAGCAGAGUCUCG
rnacentral:misc_RNA from 1 species